UUAAGCGACUAAGCGUACACGGUGGAUGCCCUGGCAGUCAGAGGCGAUGAAGGACGUGCUAAUCUGCGAAAAGCGUCGGUAAGGUGAUAUGAACCGUUAUAGCCGGCGAUGUCCGAAUGGGGAAACCCAGUGCAAUUCGUUGCACUAUCGUUUGAUGAAUACAUAGUCAAACGAGGCGAACCGGGGGAACUGAAACAUCUAAGUACCCCGAGGAAAAGAAAUCAACCGAGAUUCCCCCAGUAGCGGCGAGCGAACGGGGAGCAGCCCGGAGUCUGAAUCAGCUUGUGUGUUAGUGGAAGCGUCUGGAAAGUCGCAGGGUACAGGGUGAUACUCCCGUACACUAAAGCACACAGGCUGUGAACUCGAAGAGUAGGGCGGGACACGUGGUAUCCUGUCUGAAUAUGGGGGGACCAUCCUCCAAGGCUAAAUACUCCUGACUGACCGAUAGUGAACCAGUACCGUGAGGGAAAGGCGAAAAGAACCCCGGCGAGGGGAGUGAAAAAGAACCUGAAACCGUGUACGUACAAGCAGUAGGAGCCUCUUUAUGGGGUGACUGCGUACCUUUUGUAUAAUGGGUCAGCGACUUAUAUUCUGUAGCAAGGUUAACCGUAUAGGGGAGCCGCAGGGAAACCGAGUCUUAACUGGGCGUUAAGUUGCAGGGUAUAGACCCGAAACCCGGUGAUCUAGCCAUGGGCAGGUUGAAGGUUGGGUAACACUAACUGGAGGACCGAACCGACUAAUGUUGAAAAAUUAGCGGAUGACUUGUGGCUGGGGGUGAAAGGCCAAUCAAACCGGGAGAUAGCUGGUUCUCCCCGAAAGCUAUUUAGGUAGCGCCUCGUGAACUCAUCUUCGGGGGUAGAGCACUGUUUCGGCUAGGGGGUCAUCCCGACUUACCAACCCGAUGCAAACUACGAAUACCGAAGAAUGUUAUCACGGGAGACACACGGCGGGUGCUAACGUCCGUCGUGAAGAGGGAAACAACCCAGACCGCCAGCUAAGGUCCCAAAGUCAUGGUUAAGUGGGAAACGAUGUGGGAAGGCCCAGACAGCCAGGAUGUUGGCUUAGAAGCAGCCAUCAUUUAAAGAAAGCGUAAUAGCUCACUGGUCGAGUCGGCCUGCGCGGAAGAUGUAACGGGGCUAAACCAUGCACCGAAGCUGCGGCAGCGACACUAUGUGUUGUUGGGUAGGGGAGCGUUCUGUAAGCCGUUGAAGGUGGCCUGUGAGGGUUGCUGGAGGUAUCAGAAGUGCGAAUGCUGACAUAAGUAACGAUAAUGCGGGUGAAAAACCCGCACGCCGGAAGACCAAGGGUUCCUGUCCAACGUUAAUCGGGGCAGGGUGAGUCGACCCCUAAGGCGAGGCCGAAAGGCGUAGUCGAUGGGAAACAGGUUAAUAUUCCUGUACUCGGUGUUACUGCGAAGGGGGGACGGAGAAGGCUAUGUUGGCCGGGCGACGGUUGUCCCGGUUUAAGCAUGUAGGCGGAUGUUCCAGGUAAAUCCGGAACGUUAUCAACGCUGAGGUGUGAUGACGAGGCACUACGGUGCUGAAGUGACAAAUGCCCUGCUUCCAGGAAAAGCCUCUAAGCAUCAGGUAACAUCAAAUCGUACCCCAAACCGACACAGGUGGUCAGGUAGAGAAUACCAAGGCGCUUGAGAGAACUCGGGUGAAGGAACUAGGCAAAAUGGUGCCGUAACUUCGGGAGAAGGCACGCUGAUAUGUAGGUGAAGUGGUUUACCCAUGGAGCUGAAAUCAGUCGAAGAUACCAGCUGGCUGCAACUGUUUAUUAAAAACACAGCACUGUGCAAACACGAAAGUGGACGUAUACGGUGUGACGCCUGCCCGGUGCCGGAAGGUUAAUUGAUGGGGUUAUCCGUAAGGAGAAGCUCUUGAUCGAAGCCCCGGUAAACGGCGGCCGUAACUAUAACGGUCCUAAGGUAGCGAAAUUCCUUGUCGGGUAAGUUCCGACCUGCACGAAUGGCGUAAUGAUGGCCAGGCUGUCUCCACCCGAGACUCAGUGAAAUUGAACUCGCUGUGAAGAUGCAGUGUACCCGCGGCAAGACGGAAAGACCCCGUGAACCUUUACUAUAGCUUGACACUGAACACUGGUCCUUGAUGUGUAGGAUAGGUGGGAGGCUUUGAAGCGUGGACGCCAGUCUGCGUGGAGCCAUCCUUGAAAUACCACCCUUUAAUGGCUGGUGUUCUAACGUGGGCCCGUUAUCCGGGUUGCGGACAGUGUCUGGUGGGUAGUUUGACUGGGGCGGUCUCCUCCUAAAGAGUAACGGAGGAGCACGAAGGUCAGCUAAUCCUGGUCGGACAUCAGGAGGUUAGUGCAAUGGCAUAAGCUGGCUUGACUGCGAGCGUGACGGCGCGAGCAGGUGCGAAAGCAGGUCAUAGUGAUCCGGUGGUUCUGAAUGGAAGGGCCAUCGCUCAACGGAUAAAAGGUACUCCGGGGAUAACAGGCUGAUACCGCCCAAGAGUUCAUAUCGACGGCGGUGUUUGGCACCUCGAUGUCGGCUCAUCACAUCCUGGGGCUGAAGUAGGUCCCAAGGGUAUGGCUGUUCGCCAUUUAAAGUGGUACGCGAGCUGGGUUUAGAACGUCGUGAGACAGUUCGGUCCCUAUCUGCCGUGGGCGCUGGAGAAUUGAGGGGGGCUGCUCCUAGUACGAGAGGACCGGAGUGGACGCAUCACUGGUGUUCGGGUUGUCAUGCCAAUGGCAUUGCCCGGUAGCUAAAUGCGGAAGAGAUAAGUGCUGAAAGCAUCUAAGCACGAAACUUGCCCCGAGAUGAGUUCUCCCUGACUCCUUGAGAGUCCUGAAGGAACGUUGAAGACGACGACGUUGAUAGGCCGGGUGUGUAAGCGCAGCGAUGCGUUGAGCUAACCGGUACUAAUGAACCGUGAGGCUUAACCUU
rnacentral:rRNA from 2 species